rnacentral:rRNA from 1 species
GACGAACGCUGGCGGCGUGCCUAAUACAUGCAAGUAGAACGCUGAAGGAGGAGCUUGCUUCUCUGGAUGAGUUGCGAACGGGUGAGUAACGCGUAGGUAACCUGCCUGGUAGCGGGGGAUAACUAUUGGAAACGAUAGCUAAUACCGCAUAAGAGUAGAUGUUGCAUGACAUUUGCUUAAAAGGUGCAAUUGCAUCACUACCAGAUGGACCUGCGUUGUAUUAGCUAGUUGGUGGGGUAACGGCUCACCAAGGCGACGAUACAUAGCCGACCUGAGAGGGUGAUCGGCCACACUGGGACUGAGACACGGCCCAGACUCCUGCGGGAGGCAGCAGUAGGGAAUCUUCGGCAAUGGACGGAAGUCUGACCGAGCAACGCCGCGUGAGUGAAGAAGGUUUUCGGAUCGUAAAGCUCUGUUGUAAGAGAAGAACGAGUGUGAGAGUGGAAAGUUCACACUGUGACGGUAUCUUACCAGAAAGGGACGGCUAACUACGUGCCAGCAGCCGCGGUAAUACGUAGGUCCCGAGCGUUGUCCGGAUUUAUUGGGCGUAAAGCGAGCGCAGGCGGUUAGAUAAGUCUGAAGUUAAAGGCUGUGGCUUAACCAUAGUACGCUUUGGAAACUGUUUAACUUGAGUGCAAGAGGGGAGAGUGGAAUUCCAUGUGUAGCGGUGAAAUGCGUAGAUAUAUGGAGGAACACCGGUGGCGAAAGCGGCUCUCUGGCUUGUAACUGACGCUGAGGCUCGAAAGCGUGGGGAGCAAACAGG